rnacentral:rRNA from 1 species
GACGAACGCUGGCGGCGUGCUUAACACAUGCAAGUCGAACGGAAAGGCCCCUUUGGGGGUACUCGAGUGGCGGACGGGUGAGUAACACGUGCGUAACCUGCCCUUGACUUCGGGAUAACUUCAGGAAACAGGGGCUAAUACCGGAUAGGAAUCCUUGCUGCAUGGUGGGGGUUGGAAAGCUUCGGCGGUUUUGGAUGGAUUCGCGGCAUAUCAGCUUGUUGGUGGGGUAGGGGCUUACCAAGGCUUUGACGGGUGGGCGGCCUGGGAGGGGGACCGGCCACAUUGGGACUGAGGUGCGGCCCAGACCCCUACGGGAGGGAACAGUGGGGAAAGUUGCACAAUGGGCGGGAGGCUGGUGCAGCAACGCCGCGUGCGGGAAGACGGCCUUCCGGUUGUAAACCGCUUUCAGCAGGGGCGAAGCUUGUGGUGACGGUACCUGCAGAAGAAGCACCGGCUAACUACGUG